GCCUUGGACCUGGGAUAGCUCAGUUAGUAGAGCAUUAGUCUCUUAAUCUCAAGGUUGUGGGUUUGAGCCUCAUGUUGGGCA
rnacentral:tRNA from 1 species